CGGCGGACGGGUGAGUAACGCGUGGGUAACCUGCCUCAUACAGGGGGAUAACAGUCAGAAAUGACUGCUAAUACCGCAUAAGACCACGGUACCGCAUGGUACAGUGGUAAAAACUCCGGUGGUAUGAGAUGGACCCGCGUCUGAUUAGGUAGUUGGUGGGGUAACGGCCUACCAAGCCGACGAUCAGUAGCCGACCUGAGAGGGUGACCGGCCACAUUGGGACUGGGACACGGCCCAG
rnacentral:rRNA from 1 species